rnacentral:lncRNA from 1 species
ACUGCCAAAGUAUAUGAGAUUCUACUCAUACAUUCUUUCUCUUGAGAAAUUGUCAGACAAUCUUUCUUAGAGAGAGUUAUUCCCUGACCUAUCAGUAGAUAGCCCUUUUUGAAAUUUGUCAUGUUGAACUAUUUCAGCAUGAUACAAGCUAGUCCUAAAAUUUAAGAAACUAUGAUUGAAAAGACUACUAAAUCAUAGAAAUUUUGUGGAAACUCUAAAGCUGAACCUGCUUCC